AGGUCGGUCGUUUUACACGCAAUAAACCUCUUCAAAAUUGGUGCAGAGGCUGUCCACGCCCUGAAAAUCGAGUUUGGUGUCGAGUCACCCUGGAAGCCACCCUGGGAUAUAUGGAGGCGCCGGAGGACCAGUGGAAGGUGUCAUCCAGAUGACAGCCUCACAAUUCCCAGCCUUUGUGCUCUCCAUCAGAAACCCAUCAGGGGCAAGCCACUUAUGUUUGCCUUCAGACAAGACAAUAUUGAAGCAGGAUUCCAGCACAGCCAUCUCCUGCACUUAUGGUCAAGAUGCUCAGACAAUGGAGUCCCUGUUCCUUGUGGUUAACCGUGAACAGUAUUCUCGCUUUUAUGAAAGCUAAAGGUGAUUUCCUGCAUAAAUUACAAUUUUGCAGCUCAAAUGUGUACACUUUAUUCUAAUUUGAAUCAACUAAUAUAUGCUGUUUAAUACUUUUAUACUGUUUGAUACAAUCAU